rnacentral:rRNA from 1 species
GACGAACGCUGGCGGCGUACUUAACACAUGCAAGUCGAACGGAAAGGCCCUGCUUUUGUGGGGUGCUCGAGUGGCGAACGGGUGAGUAACACGUGAGUAACCUGCCCUUGACUUUGGGAUAACUUCAGGAAACUGGGGCUAAUACCGGAUAGGAGCUCCUGCUGCAUGGUGGGGGUUGGAAAGUUUCGGCGGUUGGGGAUGGACUCGCGGCUUAUCAGCUUGUUGGUGGGGUAGUGGCUUACCAAGGCUUUGACGGGUAGCCGGCCUGAGAGGGUGACCGGCCACAUUGGGACUGAGAUACGGCCCAGACUCCUACGGGAGGCAGCAGUGGGGAAUAUUGCACAAUGGGCGGAAGCCUGAUGCAGCAACGCCGCGUGCGGGAUGACGGCCUUCGGGUUGUAAACCGCUUUCGCCUGUGACGAAGCGUGAGUGACGGUAAUGGGUAAAGAAGCACCGGCUAACUACGCG